UUUUUGGGCUUGGUAAUUGGAAUGAGGGAGAGUUAAACGGACCAUCGAGUAUCCAUUGGAGGGCAAGUCUGGUGCCAGCAGCUGCGGUAAUACCAGCUCCAAUAGCGUAUAUUAAAGUUGUUGCAGUUAAAAAGCUCGUAGUUGGACUUGUGUGCGCUGUCCGCGGGUGGCCUGCGCCCAAAAGGGCGUUUCGGUUCGGCCCCGGUGGCGCCUUGAAAUCUGCAGCUGGGGGGACCUUGGCCUUAACUGGUCGGCGACCGCACGCCGGCUGCUCGGUUACCGUGAGAAAAUUAGAGUGUUCAAGGCAGGCAUUGGGUGCAAUUGAAUACAUUAGCAUGGAAUAAUAAAAUAUGGCUCCUGCCGUAUUUUGUUGGUUUUGACUGGUGGGAGUAAUGAUUGAUAGGGACGGUUGGGGGUGCUAGUAUUGAGCGGCCAGAGGUGAAAUUCAUGGAUUCGCUCAAGACUAACUUAUGCGAAAGCAUUCACCAAGGACGUCCUCUUUAAUCAAGAACGAAAGUUGGGGGAUCGAAGACGAUCAGAUACCGUCGUAGUCUCAACCAUAAACUAUGUCGACUUGGGAUCGGCGGUAGUUUUUUCACUAAGACACUGUCGGGACCACGGGAGAAAUCAAAGUGUCUGGACUCUGGGGGAAGUAUGGUCGCAAGGCUGAAACUUGAAGGAAUUGGCGGAAGGGCACCACCAGGAGUGGAGCCUGCGGCUUAAUUUGACCCAACACGGGGAAACUUACCAGGUCCAGAGAUGUAGAGGAUUGACAGAUUGAAGCUCUUUCUUGAUCACUUCGGUGGUGGUGCAUGGCCGUUCUUAGUUGGUGGAGUGAUUUGUCUGGUUAAUUCCGUUAACGAACGAGACCUCAGCCUGCUAGUGUAGUCGGCUGGAUUGCCUUUGGCGAUCCGUGAUUUCGACUUCUUAGAGGGACAAUCGACGCGCAGUCGAUGGAAGUUUGAGGCAAUAACAGGUCUGUGAUGCCCUUAGAUGUUCUGGGCCGCACGCGCGCUACACUGCUGGGCUCAGCGAGUUUUACUUGGCCGAGAGGCCCGGUUAAUCUUGUGAAAUCCCAGCGUUCUUGGGCUCGCCUCCUGCAACUGGAGGCGCCAACGAGGAAUUCCUAGUAGACGCAGGUCAUCAACCUGCAUCGAUUACGUCCCUGCCCUUUGUACACACCGCCCGUCGUUCCAUAAGAGUGAGGCAUCCGGUGAAUUCUCGGGAGAGCCUGGGCGUGGCCAGCAAUGGUCUGCUCGGGUUUGAACUUGCAUAAACUUGGUGCCUAUGAUUAGGG
rnacentral:rRNA from 1 species